rnacentral:rRNA from 1 species
CCUACGGGAGGCAGCAGUGGGGAAUAUUGCACAAUGGGGGAAACCCUGAUGCAGCGACGCCGCGUGAGUGAUGAAGUUUUUCGUUAUGUAAAGUCCUAUCAGCAGGGAAGAAAAUGACGGUAUCUGAGUAAGAAGCCCCGGCUAACUACGUGCCAGCAGCCGCGGUAAUACGUAGGGGGCAAGCGUUAUCCGGAUUUACUGGGUGUAAAGGGAGCGUAGACGGCAGUGCAAGUCUGGUGUGAAAGGCGAGGGCUCAACCCUCGGACUGCAUUUGAAACUGUUCGGCUGGAGUGCAGGAGAGGUAAGUGGAAUUCCUAGUGUAGCGGUGAAAUGCGUAGAGAUUAGGAGGAACACCAGUGGCGAAGGCGACUUACUGGACUGUAACUGACGUUGAGGCGCGAAAGCGUGGGGAGCAAACAGGAUUAGAUACCCGGGUAGUC